rnacentral:tRNA from 1 species
GCCUCAGUGGCGGAAUUGGUAGACGCAGGGGACUGGCACUCCCCCGGAAUGUUGCAGCACAAUCUGCAUGACUUGCGGGUUCGACUCCCGCAUGAGGCACCA